rnacentral:sRNA from 1 species
GCUGGGCAUGGUGGCUCAUGCCUGUAAUCCCAGCAGCUUGAGAGGCUGAGGCAGGAGGAUCACAAGUUCAAAGCCAGGCUCAGCAAAAGUGAAGUGCUAAGCAACUCAGUGAGACCCUGUCUCUA